rnacentral:rRNA from 1 species
AUCGAACGCUGGCGGCAUGCUUUACACAUGCAAGUCGAACGGCAGCGCGGGGCAACCUGGCGGCGAGCGGCGAACGGGCGGGUAAUAUACCGGAACGUACCCAGCCCUGGGGGUUAACGUAGCGAAAGUUACGCUAAUACAGCAUACGAUCUAAGGACGAACGUCGGGGUGCGCAAGGCAUUAUGCCUUUGGAGCGGCCGAUAUCUGAUUAGCUAGUUGGUGAGGUAAAGGUUCACCAAGGCGACGAGCAGUAGCUGGUCUGAGAGGACGACCAGCAACACUGGAAGGUGGACACGGUCCAGACUCCUACGGGAGGCAGCAGUGGGGAAUUGUGGACAAUGGGCGCAAGCCUGAUCCAGCAAUGCCGCGUGAGUGAAGAAGGCCUUCGGGUUGUAAAGCUCUUUUGUCAGGGAAGAAACGGUAGAGGCUAAUAUCCUGCGCUAAUGACGGUACCUGAAGAAUAAGCACCGGCUAACUACGUG